CCUACGGGAGGCAGCAGUGAGGAAUAGUGGUCAAUGGACGAGAGUCUGAACCAGCCAAGUAGCGUGAAGGAUGACUGCCCUAUGGGUUGUAAACUUCUUUUAUAAAGGAAUAAAACGAGGCACGUGUGCCUUUUUGCAUGUACUUUAUGAAUAAGGAUAGGCUAACUCCGUGCCAGCAGCCGCGGUAAUACGUAGGAUCCGAGCGUUAUCCGGAUUUAUGGGGUUUAAAGGGAGCGUAGAUGGGUUGUUAAGUCAGUUGUGAAAGUUUGCGGCUCAACCGUAAAAUUGCAAUUGAUACUGGCAGUCUUGAGUACAGUUGAGGUAGGCGGAAUUCGUGGUGUAGCGGUGAAAUGCUUAGAUAUCACGAAGAACCCCGAUUGCGAAGGCAGCUUACUAAACUGUGACUGACAUUGAUGCUCGAAAGUGUGGGUAUCAAACAGGAUUAGAUACCCGGGUAGUC
rnacentral:rRNA from 1 species